rnacentral:rRNA from 1 species
GGGAUAACCUUGCGAAAGUAAGACUAAUACCCAAUGACGUCUCUAGAAGACAUCUGAAAGAGAUUAAAGAUUUAUCGGUGAUGGAUGGGGAUGCGUCUGAUUAGCUUGUUGGCGGGGUAACGGCCCACCAAGGCGACGAUCAGUAGGGGUUCUGAGAGGAAGGUCCCCCACAUUGGAACUGAGACACGGUCCAAACUCCUACGGGAGGCAGCAGUGAGGAAUAUUGGUCAAUGGGCGAGAGCCUGAACCAGCCAAGUAGCGUGCAGGAAGACGGCCCUAUGGGUUGUAAACUGCUUUUAUAAGGGAAUAAAGUGAGUCUCGUGAGACUUUUUGCAUGUACCUUAUGAAUAAGGACCGGCUAAUUCCGUGCCAGCAGCCGCGGUAAUACGGAAGGUCCGGGCGUUAUCCGGAUUUAUUGGGUUUAAAGGGAGCGUAGGCCGGAGAUUAAGCGUGUUGUGAAAUGUAGAGGCUCAACCUCUGCACUGCAGCGCGAACUGGUCUUCUUGAGUACGCACAACGUGGGCGGAAUUCGUGGUGUAGCGGUGAAAUGCUUAGAUAUCACGAAGAACUCCGAUUGCGAAGGCAGCUCACGGGAGCGCAACUGACGCUGAAGCUCGAAAGUGCGGGUAUCGAACAGGAUUAGAUACCCUGGUAGUCCGCACGGUAA